AGAGUUUGAUCAUGGCUCAGAUUGAACGCUAGCGGGAUGCCUUACACAUGCAAGUCGAACGGCAGCGCGGACUUCGGUCUGGCGGCGAGUGGCGAACGGGUGAGUAAUGUAUCGGAACGUGCCCAGUAGCGGGGGACAACCACUCGAAAGAGUGGCUAAUACCGCAUACGCCCUACGGGGAAAGGGGGGAUCGCAAGACCUCUCACUAUUGGAGCGGCCGAUAUCGGAUUAGCUAGUUGGUGGGGUAAAGGCCUACCAAGGCGACGAUCCGUAGCUGGUUUGAGAGGACGACCAGCCACACUGGGACUGAGACACGGCCCAGACUCCUACGGGAGGCAGCAGUGGGGAAUUUUGGACAAUGGAGGAAACCCUGAUCCAGCCAUUCCGCGUGUGCGAUGAAGGCCUUCGGGUUGUAAAGCACUUUUGGCAGGAAAGAAAUCGUGUGGGUUAAUACCCUGCGCGGAUGACGGUACCUGCAGAAUAAGCACCGGCUAACUACGUG
rnacentral:rRNA from 1 species